CACAAAUGUCUGCUACAGUGUUUUCUACGACCUCGCAAACAAGCUUGAUGAAAAAUUGGUACUCACGGGUUAUGAGCAUAAGGUCAUCGUUGCAACAAACAUAAACCCGAAGUUAGUUGGAGGGAUGUUGGUUCUUCCUAAGCCUCAACCAAGUAUGGCGGUGUCCAGAAACUGGAAUCUGUUACAGUUGCAAAGCUUAAUGCAUAUGUCCUAAACUCAGAGCCACAGAUGCAGCCUCAACUCUUCUCAUCCGUUACUUUUACUUCUAAUCUAUAUAGGUUAAUGAUUCCGAUGUCAUCAAUCACAGGCAGCAGAUAUCUCUGCACUUUGGAAGUGGGUAAUAUUGACAGUUAGAACAGGUACUGUGUGCAAAUGUACGUCUCUGAGGUCUUUGAAUCUGAUGUGUUUCUGGCUUUCGAUGGGUCAGUCAUCAAGUUGACACUGCAACGGUUGCACAUAUAAUGGUAACAUCACCCAUACACUAAAAUUUCGCAUAUUUUUAGGCUCUUUACCAAAUACGAACACUGCUAACAGAACCCAUGUGUUGAAGAUCCAGAUAAGUGAUCCUUUCCACAAUGCCUAAUGGAUUUAGUGGGGAUGACCUAUAAUUUACAGUUAAUGCUGGACUGCAUUCAACUUUACUACAAAACAUCAGACUUUUACAACGGCACGGACCUUUGACCACAGUGAAUGUCUGUCACAAGUCACAACCUAACUUUGAGGGAAAAAUCUAUGUUCAUACAUUCUCUGCAACUACUCACUUCGCUCUGUUUAGUAUUUAGAUAUUUUAACUGUCCAUGCCCAGUGAGGUGAUAAUAACCCAGGUGAUGAGAUGCCUAGAGCUUGAGCUGUGAUAACAAGGCCCUCCCUUGGUGUAAGCAGAGCAACCCUUGAGGCCAGUGUAGGGAUGGAUGCAUCCGGGAUUGUUGAAGGAGCUGUUUCUGCGGGUGCACCUUCACCUGCUGAACCUAUACCACGUGUAAUAAAUGUUGAGAGGAUGUCACUUCCAGAAGAAGAGCCAGUUGGAAAAAGUCUCCGUAAGACUUAGUUCUUUAACUUAGUGAGCUACUGUGAUGACUGACCACCACUGCUACUCCUUUUGCGUUUGGUUUUUUAAAUGUUUCAAUAAUUUGUAAUGUGUAUAACUACAUUUUAGACCCUCCACUGUUGGAUUUUUUUAUUUUUUUAAUAGUCUUGGUGAGGGCGUUGCGUAUGAUUCAAGUUUCAAUAAUUGAUGGAACCUUAGGCACCCAUACAACCUUGCUAUUAUUUGACAAUGAAGCAAAAAAGAAAAAACAUGCUAUAAGCCUAACUUAUAGCAUUGAAGACACGUUUAUAUUACAAAAGUUGUAACCUCAGAAAUUCCAUUUAAUCACCAGCUUCCAAAUCUUCCUCUGUCCAUGAUCUGAAAUAUGCUCUGUUAACUUUCCUGCAAUAAGCAAACCUAAGGCUUAUGAGCGCAAACCAUCUCCUCUCAAGUACACAUGGACAUGCUAAAACGUAUACUUUC